UACGGAAGGCAGCAGUGGGGAAUAUUGCGCAAUGGGCGGAAGCCUGACGCAGCGACGCCGCGUGAGGGAUGACGGCCUUCGGGUUGUAAACCGUCUUUCAGCUCUGACGAAGACGAGAGUGACGGUAGGAGCAGAAGAAGCACCGGCCAACUACGUGCCAGCAGCCGCGGUAAUACGUAGGGUGCAAGCGUUGUCCGGAAUUAUUGGGCGUAAAGAGCUCGUAGGCGGUUUUGUCGCGUCGAAUGUGAAAACCCGGGGUCUCAACUCCGGGCCUGCAUUCGAUACGGGCAGACUAGAGUUCGGUAGGGGAGACUGGAAUUCCUGGUGUAGCGGUGAAAUGCGCAGAUAUCAGGAGGAACACCGGUGGCGAAGGCGGGUCUCUGGGCCGAUACUGACGCUGAGGAGCGAAAGCGUGGGGA
rnacentral:rRNA from 1 species